rnacentral:misc_RNA from 1 species
GAAUGAAAUAUGAGGCACCGUCCCACUCAAAUUGUUAUGGGAAAUAUUUAGAUAGUAAGGAGCAAAAGACAAGUCCCAGAACCACCUGGGAAUGGAAUCAGAAAUUCCAGAGUCAGAGAUAUCCAGCCAAUAAUAAUUCUUCUGAGUCCUGAGCCAUUUAGGGAAAUGAGGUCCCAAAUUGCAGGAUGGAAGACUUAAUGUUUCUAGACGAAAUGGAGGAACCCAGUCGAGACUCACAUUCCAAAUGAGGGAGUUACCAGAUAAAUCCAACUCUUUCAAGUUGGACAGAUUUGAAAAAUGGUCUUCGGAUAUGACUCCAUUUAAUGAAUUCCAAUCAA